rnacentral:rRNA from 1 species
UAACACGUANGGAACCUGCCUGCAUGAGCGGGAGAACUUCUGGAAACGGAAGCUGAUACCGGAUGAGCAAAGAGGAGGCAUCUUCUUUUUGGAAAAGGGGACAAGAGUCCCGCAUGCAGAUGGACCUGCGGUGCAUUAGCUGGUUGGAGAGGUAACGGCUCACCAAGGCGACGAUGCAUAGCCGGCCUGAGAGGGCGGACGGCCACACUGGGACUGAGACACGGCCCAGACUCCUGCGGGAGGCAGCAGUAGGGAAUUUUCGUCAAUGGGGGGAACCCUGAACGAGCAAUGCCGCGUGAGCGAGGAAGGUCUUCGGAUCGUAAAGCUCUGUUGCCGGGGACAAAAGGCAGAAAGAGUGGAAAGCUUUCUGAGUGAUGGUACCCGGCGAGGAAGUCACGGCUAACUACGUGCCAGCAGCCGCGGUAAUACGUAGGUGGCGAGCGUUAUCCGGAAUGAUUGGGCGUAAAGGGUGCGCAGGCGGCCGGGCAAGUCCGCAGUAAAAACUGGAGGCUCAACCUUCAGGGGCUGCGGAAACUGUCCGGCUGGAGAGCAGGAGAGGACGGUGGAACUCCAUGUGUAGCGGUAAAAUGCGUAGAUAUAUGGAAGAACACCGGUGGCGAAGGCGGCCGUCUGGCCUGCAUCUGACGCUGAGGCACGAAAGCGUGGGGAGCAAAUAGGAUUAGAUACCCUAGUAGU